AGGCCAUCCAAUGGCUCCUCUCCGGAUAAGGAGCCCCCUCCCCCGAACCCUAGCACCCCCAGGACCUUUUCCCUUCUCCGCCUCGAGUUGCUUCUUCCUCUUCCUCGCAUGGCCGCCUCUGCCGCGGCCAUUGCCUCGCUGCCCCCGUAGCCACCGAGCUCACCACGCCCAGCCACCUCGUCUACGAGCUUCGCCGACGUCCACUCCUUCGACUACGUCCACCAGUUGGAGCCGGUAGCCCCUGGAUCGCAGGGAUCGAUGUCGUCUUCAACCUCCAGCCACCGCGACAUCAUCGACGAAUUCAUCGCCGUCGCUCCACAACCCGACCUUCCCGAGCUCACCUACGACAUCGCGACUACGAGACCGACGAUGUUGCUGCCCAGUUCGACUACGGAGUUGAUGACCCCUCCUCCUUGCCAGAGCAACCAGGAUCCAGACGCUACCGUCGACGACGACUACUACACUAGAGGAGCCUACUACUACGUGGAGGCCGCUGACGACGACCAGGAGUAGUUAGGAGGAUCCCAGGCAGGAGGCCUGCGCCUCUUUCAAUCUGUAUCCCAGUUUGUGCUAGCCAUCUUAUGGCAACUUGUUUAACUUAUGUCUGUACUCAGAUAUUGUUGCUUCCGCUGACUCGUUUAUGUCGAGCACUUGUAUUCGAGCCCUCGAGGCCCCUGGCUUGUAAUAUGAUGCUUGUAUGACUUAUUUUACUUUUAGAGUUGUGUUGUGAUAUCUUCCCG
rnacentral:rRNA from 1 species